rnacentral:rRNA from 1 species
UACGUAGGGGGCAAGCGUUGUCCGGAUUUAUUGGGCGUAAAGAGCGUGUAGGCGGUCAGGUAGGUCCGUUGUGAAAACUCGAGGCUCAACCUCGAGACGCCGAUGGAAACCAUCUGACUAGAGUCCGGAAGAGGAGAAUGGAAUUCCCGGUGUAGCGGUGAAAUGCGCAGAUAUCAGGAGGAACACCGGUGGCGAAGGCGGGUCUCUGGGCCGUAACUGACGCUGAGGAGCGAAAGCGUGGGGAGCGAACAGG